UGACCUGGUGUAAUGUGGGACGCCCGAC
rnacentral:piRNA from 1 species